rnacentral:rRNA from 1 species
GACGAACGCUGGCGGCGUGCCUAAUACAUGCAAGUUGAGCGCUGAAGGUUGGUACUUGUACCAACUGGAUGAGCAGCGAACGGGUGAGUAACGCGUGGGGAAUCUGCCUUUGAGCGGGGGACAACAUUUGGAAACGAAUGCUAAUGCCGCAUAAAAACUUUAAACACAAGUUUUAAGUUUGAAAGAUGCAAUUGCAUCACUCAAAGAUGAUCCCGCGUUGUAUUAGCUAGUUGGUGAGGUAAAGGCUCACCAAGGCGAUGAUACAUAGCCGACCUGAGAGGUUGAUCGGCACCAUUGGGACGGAGACACGGCCCAAACCCCUACGGGAGGCCGCAGUAGGGAAUCUUCGGAAAUGGGCGAAAGUCUGACCGAGCAACGCCGGGGGGGUGAAGAAGGUUUUGGGAUCGUAAAAUCCUGUGGGUAGGGAAGAACGUUGGGGGGAGGGGAAAGCCCAUCAAGGACGGGAAAUAACCAAAAAGGGGAGGCUAAACUACGG